UGCAAGUCGAGCGAGGGGAGUUCUUCGGAACAAACCUAGCGGCGGACGGGUGAGUAACACGUGGGCAACCUGCCUCAAAGAGGGGAAUAGCCUCCCGAAAGGGAGAUUAAUACCGCAUAAAGUUAUUUUUUCGCAUGAAGAGAUAACCAAAGGAGCAAUCCGCUUUGAGAUGGGCCCGCGGCGCAUUAGCUAGUUGGUGAGGUAACGGCUCACCAAGGCGACAAUGCGUAGCCGACCUGAGAGGGUGAUCGGCCACAUUGGAACUGAGACACGGUCCAGACUCCUACGGAAGGCAGCAGUGGGGAAUAUUGCGCAAUGGGGGAAACCCUGACGCACCAACGCCGCGUGAGCGAUGAAGGUCUUCGGAUUGUAAAGCUCUGUCUUUUGAGACGAUAAUGACGGUACCAAAGGAGGAAGCCACGGCUAAUUACGUGCCACCAGCCGCGGUAAUACGUAGGUGGCAAGCGUUGUCCGGAUUUACUGGGCGUAAAAAGUAUGUAGGCGGACAUUUAAGUCAAAUGUGAAAUUCCCGGGCUUAACCUGGGAGCUGCAUUUUAUACUGGGUGUCAAGAGUGCAGGAAAGGAAAGUGGAAUUCCUAUUG
rnacentral:rRNA from 1 species